rnacentral:misc_RNA from 1 species
AACCAUUCUCACCUGCGGCUAGACCUGCGGAAGGAUCAUUAUCGUUGGGCUCCUGCCCAUUCGAGAUAACACCCUUGCCUUUUUGAGUACCUUUUCGUUUCCUCGGCAGGCACGCCUGCCAACGGGGACCCUUCAAAACGCUUUGUAAUACCUGUCAUUGUCUGAUAUAACAAGCAAAAAUCAAAACUUUCAACAAUGGAUCU